rnacentral:pre_miRNA from 1 species
ACAACAACAUUCGGACCGUCGGUCUACCGAGCAAUAUCACCCGGUCGAUGGAAGGUCUUCCCUUUGUCGUUUAGA